rnacentral:rRNA from 1 species
UACGUAGGGGGCAAGCGUUGUCCGGAAUUAUUGGGCGUAAAGAGCUCGUAGGCGGUUUGUUGCGUCGGCCGUGAAAACCUGCAGCUUAACUGUGGGCCUGCGGUCGAUACGGGCAGACUUGAGUUCGGUAGGGGAGACUGGAAUUCCUGGUGUAGCGGUGAAAUGCGCAGAUAUCAGGAGGAACACCGGUGGCGAAGGCGGGUCUCUGGGCCGAUACUGACGCUGAGGAGCGAAAGCGUGGGGAGCGAACAGG